GAUGAACGCUAGCGGCAGGCCUAAUACAUGCAAGUCGAACGGUGUAGCAAUACACAGUGGCGCACGGGUGCGUAACACGUAUGCAACCUACCUAUCAUUGGGGGAUAGCCUUUGGAAACGGAGAUUAAUACCGCAUAAGACAGUAACAUGGCAUCAUGUAGCUGUUAAAGUUUUGGCGAUGAUAGAUGGGCAUGCGUCCAAUUAGUUAGUUGGUGAGGUAACGGCUCACCAAGACGAUGAUUGGUAGGGGAUCUGAGAGGAUAAUCCCCCACACUGGCACUGAGAUACGGGCCAGACUCCUGCGGGAGGCAGCAGUAGGGAAUAUUGGGCAAUGGACGGAAGUCUGACCCAGCCAUGCCGCGUGCAGGAUGAAGGCGUUAUGCGUUGUAAACUGCUUUUUUAUAGGAAGAAGGAGACCUUGCGAGGUUUGGUGACGGUACCAUAAGAAUAAGCACCGGCUAACUCCGUGCCAGCCGCCGCCGUAACAC
rnacentral:rRNA from 1 species